rnacentral:rRNA from 1 species
GACGAACGCUGGCGGCGCGCUUAACACAUGCAAGUCGAACGGUAAGGCCCCUUCGGGGGUACACGAGUGGCGAACGGGUGAGUAACACGUGAGCAACCUGCCCUUGACUCUGGGAUAACAGUUGGAAACAGCUGCUAAUACCGGAUACGACCUUCGAUGACAUCAUCUGGAGGUGGAAAGGGCCUUAGCGGUCAAGGAUGGGCUCGCGGCCUAUCAGCUUGUUGGUGAGGUAACGGCUCACCAAGGCUUCGACGGGUAGCCGGCCUGAGAGGGCGACCGGCCACACUGGGACUGAGAUACGGCCCAGACUCCUACGGGAGGCAGCAGUGGGGAAUAUUGCACAAUGGGCGCAAGCCUGAUGCAGCAACGCCGCGUGCGGGAUGACGGCCUUCGGGUUGUAAACCGCUUUCAGUUCCGACGAAGCGCAAGUGACGGUAGGAACAGAAGAAGGACCGGCCAACUACGUGCCAGCAGCCGCCGUAA